GCCUCGAUAGCUCAGUCGGGAGAGCGUUAGACUGAAGAUCUAAAGGUCCCUGGAUCAAUCCUGGGUCGAGGCA
rfam:Ciona savignyi cont_46377, whole genome shotgun sequence.